rnacentral:misc_RNA from 1 species
UCAAACUUGGUCAUUUAGAGGAAGUAAAAGUCGUAACAAGGUUUCCGUAGGUGAACCUGCGGAAGGAUCAUUAACAAAUCCAUUUGUGGGUGGUGGGCUUUCGCUCGCACCUGAACCGGGCCUCCGAGAGGAGGUUCGCCUGUAGAUGGCUGAUUUUGGCUGUCUGCAGAAAUAGGCAAUGUCUGUAUGUCUUAUUUACAAAGAUCAUAAAACAAAACAACUUUUAACAAUGGAUCUCUUGGCUCCUGCAUCGAUGAAGAACGCAGC